rnacentral:rRNA from 1 species
GUCUGUUUGAGGGUAUAAGCAGUCUAGUCUGCCCACUGAUAAGGUAAAUUUAAAGGGCCGCGGUAUUUUGACCGUGCAAAGGUAGCAUAAUCAUUAGUUUUUUAAUUGGAAUCUCGUAUGAAUGGCUGGACAAAAGAAAAUCUGUCUCUAUAGUAAUUACCGAAUUUAACUUUUAAGUGAAAAGGCUUAAAUAAAUUAAAAAGACGAUAAGACCCUAUAAAGCUUAAUAUUAAUUGAAUAUUAUUACUGAAUUAUUAAGGUAGAUAAAAGUAUAUUAUACAGUUUUUAUUUUAUUGGGGCGAUAGAAGUAAAAUUUUUAGUAACUGCUUAUAUUUUAAGACAAAGAUAAAUGAAUAAGAUUUAUAGAAGAUCCUAAUUGAAGAUUAAAAGGUUAAGUUACUUUAGGGAUAACAGCGUAAUUUUUUUUGAGAGUUCUUAUCGACAAAAAAGUUUGCGACCUCGAUGUUGAAUUAAAAUUUCUUUACAAUUGCAGCAGUUGUAAAAGAAGGUCUGUUCGACCUUUAAAUUUUU